rnacentral:rRNA from 1 species
UACGUAGGUGGCAAGCGUUGUCCGGAUUUACUGGGCGUAAAGAGCUCGUAGGCGGUUUGUCGCGUCUGUCGUGAAAGCCCACGGCUUAACCGUGGGUCUGCGGUGGAUACGGGCAGACUAGAGGCAGGUAGGGGAGAAUGGAAUUCCCGGUGUAGCGGUGAAAUGCGCAGAUAUCGGGAGGAACACCGGUGGCGAAGGCGGCUCACUGGCUCAUUUCUGACGCUCAGGCGCGACAGCGUGGGGAUCAAACAGG